UCCAGACUCCUACGGGAGGCAGCAGUGAGGAAUAUUGGUCAAUGGGCGGGAGCCUGAACCAGCCAAGCCGCGUGAGGGAAGAAGGUACAGCGUAUCGUAAACCUCUUUUGUCAGGGAACAAAGGCGGGGACUAGUCCCCGGAUGAGGGUACCUGAAGAAAAAGCAUCGGCUAACUCCGUGCCUGCAGCCGCGGUAAUACGUAGGUGGCAAGCGUUAUCCGGAUUUACUGGGUGUAAAGGGCGUGUAGGCGGGAAAGCAAGUCAGAUGUGAAAACCAUGGGCUCAACCUGUGGCCUGCAUUUGAAACUGUUUUUCUUGAGUACUGGAGAGGCAGACGGAAUUCCUAGUGUAGCGGUGAAAUGCGUAGAUAUUAGGAGGAACACCAGUGGCGAAGGCGGUCUGCUGGACAGCAACUGACGCUGAGGCGCGAAAGCGUGGGGAGCAAACAGGAUUAGAUACCCCGGUA
rnacentral:rRNA from 1 species